rnacentral:misc_RNA from 1 species
AAUUAAUAUUUGAUGCCUCGAUAUGGAGAGGCGCUCGCUCAACACUUUUCCAUUUUCGACAAAGCUAAUGCGAGCCACGGGUGCCCACGUUAAUAUUCCUGCGCACCCUCGUUGCAGAUGAUAUAAUAGAAUAGAGUGUUCGCCCCUGUCGGUGCACCCAAUUGCGGCUCAUCAUCACCACCACCACGGCCGAUUUUAUGAUCAACAGACCCGAAAUGAUCUACGCUGAUUAAGGCAUGGCUCCCAUCAAUUCCUGCCCAAAAAAGAGUACUACUACACUCUUGGCUUGCUUUAACUUCCACUCUUUUAAACUCCAACACGAACCCACCCACGUCGCAAAUCUUAAGCCAAAUGGUGGAUGCCACGUGUUAGAAUAUUUUAGACUUCUCCUCCCCUGAACUAAAGAAAAAAUAAAGGAUAAAUAUUUGGUAAGUUGACCCUCAGGGUGUGAGUGAGUAAAGAGGUCAAGCAAUAAUCUAUUUGGGAAUGGUCAUGUUUGUCUC